GUGGGGAAUUUUGGACAAUGGGGGGAACCCUGAUCCAGCCAUGCCGCGUGUGUGAAGAAGGCCUUUUGGUUGUAAAGCACUUUAAGCGAGGAGGAGGCUACCGAGAUUAAUACUCUUGGAUAGUGGACGUUACUCGCAGAAUAAGCACCGGCUAACUCUGUGCCAGCAGCCGCGGUAAUACAGAGGGUGCAAGCGUUAAUCGGAUUUACUGGGCGUAAAGCGCGCGUAGGUGGCCAAUUAAGUCAAAUGUGAAAUCCCCGAGCUUAACUUGGGAAUUGCAUUCGAUACUGGUUGGCUAGAGUAUGGGAGAGGAUGGUAGAAUUCCAGGUGUAGCGGUGAAAUGCGUAGAGAUCUGGAGGAAUACCGAUGGCGAAGGCAGCCAUCUGGCCUAAUACUGACACUGAGGUGCGAAAGCAUGGGGAGCAAACAGGAUUAGAUACCCUAGUAGUCC
rnacentral:rRNA from 1 species